rnacentral:rRNA from 1 species
GAUGAACGCUGGCGGCGUGCCUAAUACAUGCAAGUCGAGCGAACGGACGAGAAGCUUGCUUCUCUGAUGUUAGCGGCGGACGGGUGAGUAACACGUGGUUAACCUACCUAUAAGACUGGGAUAACUUCGGGAAACCGGAGCUAAUACCGGAUAAUAUUUUGAACCGCAUGGUUCAAAAGUGAAAGACGGCCUUGCUGUCACUUAUAGAUGGAUCCGCGCUGCAUUAGCUAGUUGGUAAGGUAACGGCUUACCAAGGCAACGAUGCAUAGCCGACCUGAGAGGGUGAUCGGCCACACUGGAACUGAGACACGGUCCAGACUCCUACGGGAGGCAGCAGUAGGGAAUCUUCCGCAAUGGGCGAAAGCCUGACGGAGCAACGCCGCGUGAGUGAUGAAGGUCUUCGGAUCGUAAAACUCUGUUAUUAGGGAAGAACAUAUGUGUAAGUAACUGUGCACAUCUUGACGGUACCUAAUCAGAAAGCCACGGCUAACUACGUG